GGCAAGGCCGGCACACACGCUGCUCGUGGCCGGACACCCGUGUCCUGGGAUCGCCGUCCCCGAACCGAUCAAGAUGGGACCCAGACCCCGGUGUGGCUAGCACACACAUCGCCCAGGACCGGAGCCCAGGUGUUCAGAACGGCCGGCCGCCACUCCACAUGGGACAGAACCCCCCGGUCUCCCGGACGGCCAGUCCAGGAGCCGGAGGACAACAGCCAACAGCUUCAAAGCACAGCCGGAACCCACGCUGCUUAUGGCUGGACACCCGUGUUCAGGGAUCACCGUCCCCAAGCCGCCCGAGGUUGGACCCAGACCCCGGUGCGGCUAGCACACACGUCGCCCAAGACUGCAGUCAAGCGACUCGGGACGGUUGGGCACUUCUCUUCACGAGACAGUAAACAGGGCUCCGGACGGCCACUCCCGGAGCCGGCGGACGACAGCCUCCCGUUUCACGGGACACACGGCACCCAUGCCGCUCGUGGCCGGACACCCGUGUCCUGGGAUCGCUGUCCCCAGUCCGCCCGAGGUCGGACCCGGACACCGGUACAGCUAACACACGUCGCUCAGGAUCAGAGUAGGGACUCAGAACGCCUGCCCCAACACCAGCGGUGGCUGGACAACAGUGUCCUGGGAUUGCUGUCCCCCAGCCGCCCAAGAUGGGGCCCAGACCCUGGUGCGGAUAGCACACAUUUCACCCAGAACUGGAGCCCAGGGAUUCGGUACGGCUGGGUGCCGCUCAGCACGGAACAGACCAACCUGGUCUACGGCAAGGCCAGUCCCCGAGUUGGCGGACGACAGCCUCCCACUUCACGGCACGGCCGACACCCUCAGCGCCCGAGGACGGACCCCCGGAACACGGGACAGACAGCCCCCGCGCAGCCUGUGGCCGAACUCCUGCACAUGGGACCAACGUCCAGGAGCUGCUCGAGGUUGGCCCCGGACCCUGGUGUGGGUAGAACACACUUUGCCCAGGACGGAGCCCAGGGAUUCGGGACAGAAUGCCACCUCUCCACAAGGGACAGAACCUCCCAUUCUCCAGGAGUAUUAGUAGUAGUAUUAUUACUGUCAUUAUUAUUUUUCUGUCUUAAUACAUUCCAUGUAUUAAUGUCUAAUUCUGUCUUUUCUGUCUUUAUCUCAACUCACAGGCUUCACUUUCCCAUUUCUCUCUCCCAUCCCAGAGAGGGAGUUUGGAGGGUGAGCAAAUUGCUGUGUGGUGUUUAG
rnacentral:lncRNA from 1 species